CUCCCGCUCUGCCAUCCUGCGCGCCAACCUCCGCAAGUCCCCUAUUGCUAAGGACGUAGACCUGGCAUAUCUGUCCCGUAUAACGGAGGGAUUCUCAGGAGCAGACCUGACUGAGAUCUGUCAGAGGGCCUGUAAGCUUGCUAUAAGAGAAGCCAUAGAAGCAGAGAUCCGUGCUGAGAGACAGCGCCAAGCCAGGAAAGAGACUGCUAUGGAUGAUGAUUAUGACCCGGUGCC